UUUUUUUUUUUUUUUUUUUUCUUUUCAUCACUUUAGAUAUAUCAUGCCACUCCCUUCUGGCCUGCAGUUUCUGCUGCAAAACCAGCUGAUAACCUUAUCAGAUCCUUUGUAAUUUGUUACUUUUUCCCUAACUCUUUGUCUUUAGUCAGUUUGAUUAAUAUAUGUUGGGGUGUGUCUCCUUGGGUUUAUUCUAUAUGGUACUCAUUGUGCUUCUUGGACCUAAGUGAGUGACUACUUUGUUAGGGAAUUUUUUGGCUAUUAUCUAUCUCUUCUUAUUUUCUCUGGCCCUUUCUCUCUUUCUUCUUCUGGCACCCCUUUAAUGCAAAUGUUGGUGCGUGUAAUGUUGUCCCAGAGUUUGCUUAGACUGUCCUCAUUUCUUAUUUUUUCUUUAUUCUGUUCUGCAUCAGUGAUUUUCACCAAACUGUCUUCCACCUUGCUUAUUCGUUCUUCUGCCUCCUGUAUUUUGCUAUGAUUCCUUCUAGUAAAUUUUAAAUUUUGUGUUGUUUACCACAGCUUGUUUGUUCUUUAAAUCUAUUUCUUUGUUAAACAUUUCUUAUAGCUUUUUGAUCAUUGCCUCUUUUUUUCCAGAGGAUUGUUUCUUAAAACAAUCUUGAAUCAUUCUUAUUAUCAUUACUCUAAAGUCUUUUUUCAUGUACAUUGCUUAUCUCCACUUUACUUAGCUAUUUUUCUGGGGUUUUGUCCUGUUCCUUCAUCUGCAAAGGAUUUCUCUGCCUUUUCAUUUUGGCCAGAUUUCUGCAUUUGUGGUGUCCUUUAUACAGGGUGUAGGGUUGUAGUCUCUCUUGCUUCUGGUGUCUGCCUCCUGGUGGGUGAAAUUGAUACAGGGGCUUGUGACUGGUUUCCUGAAGGAAGGGACUAGUGUCUGCCCACUGGUGGGGGGAGUGGAGUCUUGUCCCUCUGGUGGGCAGGACUGUGUUGCUGGGUGUGAUAAGAGUGCAUAUGUGCCUAGGAGGACUUUAGGAAGCCUGUCUGCUCAUGGAUGGGGCUGUUUUCCCAUCUUGUUUGUCGUUGGGUCUGGGGUUUCUCAGGACUGGUGAGUGGGGCCAGAUUUUUUGAAAAUUACGGCCUCUGGGGAGGUUACACUGAUGAAUACCUGCUAGGGCCUCUGCCUCCAGUGUCCUGCCCCCAGAGUGACCACAGCUGACCCCUACUCUCCCAGGAGACUUUCCAAGACCUACAGGUAGGACUAGCCCAGAUUUUUAAUUUUCAUUUUAUGGGGCACACCUAUAAAAGUUAUUGGACUAGGGUUUGAAUCAUAGCUACAUCUGAGGCCUACACCACAACCAAGGCAACACCAGAUCUGAGUCACAUCUGUGACUUACGCCACAGCCUAUGGCAAUACCGGAUCCUUAAUGCACUAAGUAAAGCCAGGGAUCAAACCUGAAUCCUCAUGGAGACUACAUCAGGUCUGUCUGUCUUUUUAGGGCCGCACCUGUGACACAUGUAAGUUCCCAGGCAAGGGGCUGAAUGAGAGCCAUGGCUGCCGGCUACAGCCACAGUAACAUGGGAUCCGAGCCAUGUCUGUGAUCUGUACCGCAGCUGAUGGCAAUGCCAGAUCCUUAAUACACUGAGUAGGGCCAGGGGUAGAUCCCAUGUCCUCAUGGAUGCUAGUCAGGUUCGUUACUGCUGAGCCACAACAGGAACUCCCUACAUUGGGUUCUUAACUCAUUGAGCCACUAUGGGAAUUCCUGACCCAGGGACCCUGGAGACCUUGCAAGAUCCACAGGUAGGAUGGCCCAGAUUCUUAUGGGCUUGCCCUGGGACCCAGUGCACAUGAAAAACUCUGUAUGUGCCCCCCCCCCGCAAGAGUAGAAUCUCUGUUUCCUCCGGAUCUAUGAAGCCCUUGUACUCAAGCUCUGCUGGCCUUCAAAGCCAAAUGCUCCAGGGGCUCCUCAUCCCUAUGCCAGAUCCCCAGGCUGGGGAACAUGACAUGGAGUUUGGAACCCUCACUCCUGUGGGUGAGCCUCUGCAAUACAGUUAUUUUCCAGGCUGUGGGUUGCCUACCUUGUGGAUAUGGGAUUGCUUUACCACGAAAGUGCCCCUCCUACCAUCUAGAUGUGGUGGCUUCUUUGUCUUUGGGUGUAGGAUAUCUUUUUUGGUAGCUUCCAGUCUAUUUUGUUGAUGGUUGUUCAGCAAUUAGUUGCAAUUUGAUGUUUUCAUGAAAGGAGGUAAGCUCAAGUCCUUCUACUCUGCCACUGUGUCUGGAAUACCCCUUGAAGAAUUUUGCAUAGACUUCUCAGUUGGAAGACAUUUCUGGCCAGAAUUUGCAAUGUGCUUCUUGGUUCUUUCUCUUCAUCCUUUUGAUUGAACAUCUAUGACAACUAAAACCUAAAGCCAGAGUUUUCCAAUUAGACUCAGAUAGCCAGAAAAUGAACAGAAUCAUUUAGCACCUCAUGGAAACAUAGUCAGCUGCUGAGAAGGCAGAGGCUGAGAUGCCCGGAUGAGGCCAGGGUAGUAGAGUGAAGAGUGGCUUCAGCAUGAGGGGUUGUGUUCCCAUUUCCUCCUCUUGGCCUGAUUUUCUUUUUUCUUUCCUCUCAUUUCCCAAGCAUUGUAUUAUUUACUUGUUCCUGUGGUCAUAACUGAGUAACUGAACCACUAGAAGGAAUCCUAUCUGAAAUAUAGCCAACCAGGAACAGACGAGCUUCAGAAUAGGUGAAGGAAGGGAGAUAAGUGAGAUAAAGAACACCAUUUAUCCCCCUUUAAUUUUACAGCUGUGGAGGAGUUCAGCCUUCUCUCACAAGCAUAGAAAGACAACCAUCGAUGAAAAGACUAGAGCCCACCAGCAAAGAUCUUCUAUAACUAAAGACAUAAAGGAGGAACCAUGAUGAGACAGGUAGGAAUGAUGCAUUCAUGAUAUAAGUCCCAUAUCCCCAGGUGGGUGACCCACAAAUUGGAGAAUAAUUACAUUGCAGAGGUUCUCCCACAGAAGUGAGUUUGGAGCCCCAUGUCAGCCUCCCCAGCUCAAAGAUCCUGCACUGGGAAGAUGAGCCCCCAGAGAAUUUGCCUUUGAAGGUCAGGAGGGCUUAAUAUUGAGUAACAGAGGAUGGGGCAUAGGUGUGGGGAGGGGAGAGACUUCAGUCUUAAAGGACACACACAAAAUCUCACAUGCUCCAUGGCAAAAGCAGUACUUUGAUAGGGUCUGGGUCAGACCUACCUGCUAGUCUUAGUCUCCUGGAGAGUUAGGAGGCCACUGUGGUGCACCCUGGGGACACAGACACUGGCAAUACCCACUCUCACCUCAUUCUACCACAGGGACACUGGUGCUGGUAGCUGCCAUUGUGAAAUCCUCCCUCUAGCUCAUCAGUGUCAAUUCCUGGCCCAGUGCCUCAAGCCAAGCAGCUAACUGCGUUGGGAACAUAGCUCUAGCAAUCAGCAAACAGGCUACCUUAAGACCUCCUGAGCCCACUUUGGACAUGGCCCUGCCCAUCCAGACAGAACAUCAAUAAGAAAACACUGGCUUAAAAUGACAGGGAGUUCCUGUCGUGGCACAGCAGAAACGAAUCUGACUAGGAACCAUGAGGUUGCGGGUUCAAUCCCUGGCCUCGCUCACAGGUUAAGGAUCCGGCGUUGCCGUGAGCUGUGGUGUAGGUGGCAGAUACAGCUCAGAUCCCACACUGCUGUAGUUGUGGCUGACAGCUGUAGCUCCAAUUGUUGGACCCCUAGCCUGGGAACUUCCUUAUGCCGUGGGUGUGGCCCUAAAAAGCAGAAAGAAAGAAAGAGAGCGAGAGAGAGACAGAGAGAGAGAAAAAGAGAAAGAAAGAGAGAAAGAAAGAAAUUAGGACAGAGGUUUGAUCUCUGGCCUUUAUCAGUGAGUUAAGGAUCCCAUGUUGCCCUAAGCUGUAGUGUAGGUCUCAGAUGCAGCUCAGAUCUGGUGUGGCUGUGGCAUAGGCUGGCAACUACAGCUCUGAUUCGACGCCUAGCC
rnacentral:lncRNA from 1 species